rnacentral:rRNA from 1 species
UGGAGGGGGAUAACUACUGGAAACGGUGGCUAAUACCGCAUAACGUCGCAAGACCAAAGAGGGGGACCUUCGGGCCUCUUGCCAUCAGAUGUGCCCAGAUGGGAUUAGCUUGUUGGUGAGGUAACGGCUCACCAAGGCGACGAUCCCUAGCUGGUCUGAGAGGAUGACCAGCCACACUGGAACUGAGACACGGUCCAGACUCCUACGGGAGGCAGCAGUGGGGAAUAUUGCACAAUGGGCGCAAGCCUGAUGCAGCCAUGCCGCGUGUAUGAAGAAGGCCUUCGGGUUGUAAAGUACUUUCAGCGGGGAGGAAGGUGUUGUGGUUAAUAACCGCAGCAAUUGACGUUACCCGCAGAAGAAGCACCGGCUAACUCCGUGCCAGCAGCCGCGGUAAUACGGAGGGUGCAAGCGUUAAUCGGAAUUACUGGGCGUAAAGCGCACGCAGGCGGUCUGUCAAGUCGGAUGUGAAAUCCCCGGGCUCAACCUGGGAACUGCAUUCGAAACUGGCAGGCUUGAGUCUUGUAGAGGGGGGUAGAAUUCCAGGUGUAGCGGUGAAAUGCGUAGAGAUCUGGAGGAAUACCGGUGGCGAAGGCGGCCCCCUGGACAAAGACUGACGCUCAGGUGCGAAAGCGUGGGGAGCAAACAGGAUUAGAUACCCUGGUAGUCCACGCCGUAAACGAUGUCUACUUGGAGGUUGUGCCCUUGAGGCGUGGCUUCCGGAGCUAACGCGUUAAGUAGACCGCCUGGGGAGUACGGCCGCAAGGUUAAAACUCAAAUGAAUUGACGGGGGCCCGCACAAGCGGUGGAGCAUGUGGUUUAAUUCGAUGCAACGCGAAGAACCUUACCUGGUCUUGACAUCCACAGAACUUUCCAGAGAUGGAUUGGUGCCUUCGGGAACUGUGAGACAGGUGCUGCAUGGCUGUCGUCAGCUCGUGUUGUGAAAUGUUGGGUUAAGUCCCGCAACGAGCGCAACCCUUAUCCUUUGUUGCCAGCGGUCCGGCCGGGAACUCAAAGGAGACUGCCAGUGAUAAACUGGAGGAAGGUGGGGAUGACGUCAAGUCAUCAUGGCCCUUACGACCAGGGCUACACACGUGCUACAAUGGCGCAUACAAAGAGAAGCGACCUCGCGAGAGCAAGCGGACCUCAUAAAGUGCGUCGUAGUCCGGAUUGGAGUCUGCAACUCGACUCCAUGAAGUCGGAAUCGCUAGUAAUCGUGGAUCAGAAUGCCACGGUGAAUACGUUCCCGGGCCUUGUACACACCGCCCGUCACACCAUGGGAGUGGGUUGCAAAAGAAGUAGGUAGCUUAACCUUCGGGAGGGCGCUUACCACUUUGUGAUUCAUGACUGGGGUGAAGUCGUAACAAGGUAACCGUAGGGGAACCUGC